rnacentral:rRNA from 1 species
UAGGGAAUCUUCCACAAUGGACGCAAGUCUGAUGGAGCAACGCCGCGUGAGUGAAGAAGGUUUUCGGACCGUAAAGCUCUGUUGUUGGUGAAGAAGGAUAGAGGUAGUAACUGGCCUUUAUUUGACGGUAAUCAACCAGAAAGUCACGGCUAACUACGUGCCAGCAGCCGCGGUAAUACGUAGGUGGCAAGCGUUGUCCGGAUUUAUUGGGCGUAAAGCGAGCGCAGGCGGAAGAAUAAGUCUGAUGUGAAAGCCCUCGGCUUAACCGAGGAAUUGCAUCGGAAACUGUUUUCUUGAGUGCAGAAGAGGAGAGUAGAACUCCAUGUGUAGCGGUGGAAUGCGUAGAUAUAUGGAAGAAUACCAGUGGCGAAGGCGGCUCUCUGGUCUGCAACUGACGCUGAGGCUCGAAAGCAUGGGUAGCGAACAGGAUUAGAUACCCUUGGUAGUCCAUGCCGUAAAACGAUG